UUACCGAGUUAUCGCUCCAAACCCAUUGUGAACCUUACCUACUGUUCUGUUGCCUCGGCGGGGGGACCUGCGGGAACCGCCCUAGCGGGCGCCCCUGGCCACCCUCCGCCGGCAGCACCAAACUCCUGAAUUUAUAGCGGACAAACGUUUCUGAAUGAUAAAAAAAAUGAGUUAAAACUUUCAACAACGGAUCUCUUGGUUCUGGCAUCGAUGAAGAACGCAGCGAAAUGCGAUAAGUAAUGUGAAUUGCAGAAUUCAGUGAACCAUCGAAUCUUUGAACGCACAUUGCGCCCGGCAGUAAUCUGCCGGGCAUGCCUGUCCGAGCGUCAUUUCAACCCUCGAGCCUAGUCUUCUCGGCUCGGCGUUGGGGCGCUACGGGUCAUUUUACAUGCCCCGUAGGCCCCGAAAUACAGUGGCGGUCCCGCCGCGGCGCCCCCUGCGUAGUAGUGUCUUUACAGAACUCGCAUUGGGUCCCGGCGGAGGCUUGCCAGUCAAACCCCACUAUCACAAGAUGGU
rnacentral:rRNA from 1 species